rnacentral:rRNA from 1 species
AGUGGCGGACGGGUGAGUAACACGUAGGUAACCUGCCUUGAAGUGGGGGACAACCGGGGAAACCCGGGCUAAUACCGCAUAAGACCACUGGGAGAAAAGUAGCGCUUUGAGAGGGGCCUGCGGCCUAUCAGGUAGUUGGCGGGGUAAAGGCCCACCAAGCCAAAGACGGGUAGCCGGACUGAGAGGUUGAACGGCCACACUGGAACUGAGACACGGUCCAGACUCCUACGGGAGGCAGCAGUGGGGAAUUUUGCGCAAUGGGCGAAAGCCUGACGCAGCGACGCCGCGUGGAGGAUGAAGGUCUUCGGAUUGUAAACUCCUUUUGCAGGGGAAGAUUGACGGUACCCUGCGAAUAAGCCACGGCUAACUCUGUGCCAGCAGCCGCGGUAAGACAGAGGUGGCAAGCGUUGUUCGGAAUUACUGGGCUUAAAGGGCGCGUAGG